rnacentral:miRNA from 1 species
CACUCCAGCAACAAGAGCAACAGCAACAACCCAAGAGCCUAUCCUGGGCAUAGGUCUGUAGCUCAGUUGGCAGAGU